rnacentral:rRNA from 1 species
AUUGAACGCUGGCGGCAGGCUUAACACAUGCAAGUCGAGCGAGCGGCGGACGGGUGAGUAAUAUCUGGGAAACUGACUGAUGGAGGGGGAUAACUACUGGAAACGGUAGAUAAUACCGCAUACUAUCAGAUGUGCACAGAUGGGAGUAGCUAGUAGGUGGGGUAAUGGCUCACCUAGGCGACGAUCCCUAUCUGGUCUGAGAGGAUUACCACCCACAGUUGAACUUAGACACGUUCCAGACUCCUACGGGAGGCAGCAGUGGGGAAUAUUGCACAAUUGGCGCAAGCCUGAUUCAGCCAUGCCGCGUGUGUGAAGAAGGCCUUCGGGUUGUAAAGUACUUUCAGCGAGGAGGCGUUACUCGCAGAAGAAGCACCGGCUAACUCCGUGCCAGCAGCCGCGGUAAUUC